AGUGAACGCUGGCGGUAGGCCUAACACAUGCAAGUCGAACGGCAGCACAGUAAGAGCUUGCUCUUACGGGUGGCGAGUGGCGGACGGGUGAGGAAUACAUCGGAAUCUACUUUUUCGUGGGGGAUAACGUAGGGAAACUUACGCUAAUACCGCAUACGACCUACGGGUGAAAGCAGGGGAUCUUCGGACCUUGCGCGAUUGAAUGAGCCGAUGUCGGAUUAGCUAGUUGGCGGGGUAAAGGCCCACCAAGGCGACGAUCCGUAGCUGGUCUGAGAGGAUGAUCAGCCACACUGGAACUGAGACACGGUCCAGACUCCUACGGGAGGCAGCAGUGGGGAAUAUUGGACAAGGGGCGCAAGCCUGAUCCAGCCAUACCGCGUGGGUGAAGAAGGCCUGCGGGUUGUAAAGCCCUUUUGUUGGGAAAGAAAAGCAGCAGGUUAAUACCCCGCUGUUCUGACGGUACCCAAAGAAUAAGCACCGGCUAACUUCGU
rnacentral:rRNA from 1 species